UCAUUGGACUGCUGAUGGCCUG
rnacentral:miRNA from 2 species